rnacentral:rRNA from 1 species
AUACGUAGGGUGCAAGCGUUAAUCGGAAUUACUGGGCGUAAAGGGUGCGCAGGCGGUUUGGCAAGAAGGAUGUGAAAUCCCGGGGCUUAACCUCGGAACUGCAUUCUUAACUGCCAGGCUAGAGUAUGUCAGAGGGGGGUAGAAUUCCGCGUGUAGCAGUGAAAUGCGUAGAGAUGCGGAGGAAUACCGAUGGCGAAGGCAGCCCCCUGGGAUAAUACUGACGCUCAGGCACGAAAGCGUGGGGAGCAAACAGGAUUAGAUACCCUGGUAGUCCACGCCCUAAACGAUGUCAACUAGCUGUUGGGGCCUUCGGGCCUUAGUAGCGCAGCUAACGCGUGAAGUUGACCGCCUGGGGAGUACGGCCGCAAGGUUAAA